rnacentral:rRNA from 1 species
UACGGAGGGUGCGAGCGUUAAUCGGAAUCACUGGGCGUAAAGCGCGCGUAGGCGGCUCUUCAAGUCAGGGGUGAAAUCCCACGGCCCAACCGUGGAACUGCCUUUGAAACUGUAGAGCUUGAGUAUCGGAGAGGGUGGCGGAAUUCCAGGUGUAGGAGUGAAAUCCGUAGAUAUCUGGAGGAACACCGGUGGCGAAGGCGGCCACCUGGACGACAACUGACGCUGAGGUGCGAAAGCGUGGGUAGCAAACAGG